rnacentral:rRNA from 1 species
CAAUAGCGUAUAUUAAAGUUGUUGCAGUUAAAAAGCUCGUAGUUGGAUUUCUGGUGGGAGCGAUCGGUCUGGCGCUUAGCGCGAGUACUUGCAUCGUCUCCGGCCAUCCUUGGGGAGAGUCUGUCUGGCAUUAGGUUGUCGGGCAGAGGAUCCUCAUCGUUUACUGUGAAAAAAUUAGAGUGUUCAAAGCAGGCUUAUGCCGUUGAAUAUACUAGCAUGGAAUAAUAAGAUAGGACUUUGGUACUAUUUUGUUGGUUUGCGCACCAAAGUAAUGAUUAAUAGGGACAGUUGGGGGUAUUCGUAUUCCGUUGUCAGAGGUGAAAUUCUUGGAUUUACGGAAGACGAACUACUGCGAAAGCAUUUACCAAGGAUGUUUUCAUUAA